ACUUUGCACAGUGACUCGGUUGAUGAGUCUCUUUCUCUCUCUCUCUUCUCCGAUUUCCAUGAAUACCAGCGAGCACCAACGCUGGUCUCUUCUCCUUCUCCCUCUCCCUCUCCCCAAAAUCUAGGGUUCCUGGAUCAUCGCCGAGCUCACUCACAUUCCCCCCCUUCAAUCCAUCUCCGCCACCCCAAACCCUUCCAAUCCCUCGGCGAACGCUCCGGCGAGCCAUUUGAGCCCUACCCCCUCGACUCAUGGCGAAGACCCGACCGGGCCUCAUGGCCAAGCCUAAGCCGGCGAAGAAGGACCUCGACUCCUACACCAUCAGAGGCACCACCAAGGUGGUUCGCGCUGGCGAUUGCGUGCUGAUGCGUCCGUCGGACACCGGGAAGCCCCCGUACGUGGCCCGAAUCGAGAAGAUCGAGUCCGAUGCCCGUAACAACGUGAAAGUGAGGGUGCGAUGGUAUUACAGGCCGGAGGAGUCGAUUGGAGGAAGGAGGCAGUUUCAUGGUGCUAAAGAAUUGUUCUUGUCUGAUCACUUUGAUGUGCAAAGCGCGCAUACUAUUGAAGGCAAAUGCAUUGUGCACUCGUUUAAGAACUAUACGAAGCUUGAGAAUGUUGGAGCGGAGGAUUACUACUGUAGAUUUGAGUAUAAGGCAGCUACUGGGGCGUUUAUACCUGACCGUGUUGCUGUGUACUGCAAGUGUGAGAUGCCGUAUAACCCGGAUGACCUUAUGGUGCAGUGUGAAGGAUGCAAGGACUGGUACCAUCCAGCAUGCGUUGGUAUGACUAUUGAAGAAGCCAAAAAGCUUGAGCACUUUGUCUGCUCCGAAUGUUCGGAUGAUGAGGUCAAGCGAGCAGAAAAUGGAUUUUCUUCAUCACCAGCAGCGGAAGUAAAGAACAUGGAUUCUCCAAGUUAAAGAAGCAGGUGUACUUAUUGUAAACUGACUACAAGGAUGGAUAUCUUGGAAAGAUUCAGGAAAUGGUUGACUCCAAGCGUCGGAAGAGAUGAAGGUGAGAUUUCACCUGGAUGUCGCAGUUGCUGCUGGAUGACUGAGCCAUCACUGUUAUUAUUUGCGGAAUCAGUAUCUAGUUGUUGUAUGAUGUGUACAGUGCUCCGUACGAUGGUCUGACGGGACGAUGUUAGUGACUUGCGUGUGUGUCGUAGGAUACAUGUAUCUGCGCUAGUUUUAGGAGUCGUGAUGUAAUCCGUAGUGUGUCCAGGGAAAAAAAAAAUUGGUUUUGGAGUUAACUCUACUUCGUUUGGAGUUGAACCGUGUGGAGUGGUAAAAACUCUGAAUACCCGGUUUUCCUCAAAAUGUUUAUUAAGGUUAUGUGAGACUCAUGUCUUAA